CCACAUGUAAACUUCAAAACAUGCAAUUUGGAUUCAGUAAACAUGACCAUGGUAGCACAUUAUAUGGUGCAAAAAUAAGUAUAAAUAGUUAAUUACUUGUAAUGGUUCUUAAGCUAAUUACGUAUGCAUGCAGCUGCAGGAACACAUCUUCAGCUAAUUCUGACUACCAUCUUUGAUCCUGAAACCCACGACCACAACUCACCAUUCCAACACCGCAUCAGCUCACUCUGUGCGCCAUGAGAAAGAAGAGUAAAGGCAUACUUCGAUUAAUCUUAAUAUAUGUCGAAGUUGUAAGUUAUACAUAGAGUAACAUCCAAGCACCUGCGGAUUAAUCAACAGAUAUUUUAAUUCAUGUUCAGUGCGUAUUGAGUGCCCAUAGUAGCAACAAAGUUCAUAGAGAUAAUCACAAAUCGCUGUCAAAUUUACCAAUGAAGUCUUUGAAGCCAAUUUUGGUGAUUACCGAGCAACAACAGGGUUCGUAGAAACAAUUUUAAGCACACAGCCGUCAACACAAAAAAAAAUCUGUAGACAUCACUCAGGAUCAAUGCUGAAAGAUUGGAUCGUAGCCAGUUAAUAAUUAAUAAAUUAUAACAAUACAAUAAGAAGGAAAUCAUUAUCGUAUUUAGAGAUAAUGUAAUUGUAAUCAAAUACCUAGGUUUGAAACAAAAGCUACCUGGGAGCUGACCCAUUGCCGAGAUUGAAGCCUCGUAUACAAAGGAGAUACAUACAAAAGAAUAGAACAAUGGCGAGACUUGCCAUGAGAGAACGUCAUUGGCAAAGUGAUCAGACCUAGAGUAUUAUACGGGGAAAUCGUGAAUAGACAAAUCAGCUGGGUGAUAGAUGGAGGGGGUGAGCACCUUGAUGAGGAGAAUAGCCAUCAUGGUCAAAGUCAAACCUUCACCCAGGGAGGAGAUUCGGCGGAGCAGCACAAAACAUGAUAGAGGAAGGAGGCGGCGUCCUCAGGAGAUGCGGCCGACCAGCAAAAACGGGAUAGACGAAGGAGGUGGUGUUUCCUGGAAGGAAACGGGAGAGCAGGGGCAACGUGGAUUGCUAUGGGAUUGACGUAUGAUUAGAUUGAAAAGAUCUAAGACACUCAAAGAAAAAAAGAUUGAAUCUGUAGCUACCGUAUGAUUUUAAUUUUCCAGGAUUAAACGUGGAGGCUAAUGUGGAUCCAUCUAAACUACGGGUUUUGCAGCUUCUAAGUGUGAAAGGUCUCUGGGCAUAUUUUGUAGCCCAACAAAGCAAAUGUGACGAGAAAAU
rnacentral:lncRNA from 1 species